UAUAAAAGCAUUCAAAGCUGCUGCAGGUUAAGUUUUGAUGCAUGAAUUUUAGCCUUGAGUUGACAAUUGUCGUGUCCACUCUGAUAAAAAUGUUUCCAGUGUCAUGAGAAUAGAAAUGGUGUUUAACAUCAUGUGACUAAGCCCAAAGAGACGGCAGACAUUAAAGUUGACCAAUCAGCAGAUCACAGUUAUCCCACAUCAUGUUAGUCUGUAUCCUGUAUAUCAAAAUCUUAUUUUCAUACUUGCUUUCAUUCUUUCUUUUUAUAGGCUUUGAUGAUUUUAUAUUUUUUUUGUUGUCAUUUUUUUUGUCCUUUUCCCAAUUUUUCCAGUUGAUGUUCAUAUUUGGAUUUCCCUCUUUAGUGUUUUUUAUUGUGGUAUUUGUUCAACCGAUGCUGUUCUGUAUACCACAUUUAUCUCUUCCGCAAGCAAGAUUUAAAUGUCUUCACCACAGAUGGAUGACAAUAUUGGGGACAAUAAUAAUAACACUCCUGGAUAUCAUUCUAGUGAUUUAUGCUCAUCUAGUCAUAUUUGAUUGGGAG